rnacentral:rRNA from 1 species
GACGAACGCUGGCGGCGUGCUUAACACAUGCAAGUCGAACGGAAAGGCCCUGCUUUUGUGGUGUGCUCGAGUGGCGAACGGGUGAGUAACACGUGAGUAACCUGCCCUUGACUUUGGGAUAACUUCAGGAAACUGGGGCUAAUACCGGAUAGGAGCUCCUGCUGCAUGGUGGGGGUUGGAAAGUUUCGGCGGUUGGGGAUGGACUCGCGGCUUAUCAGCUUGUUGGUGGGGUAGUGGCUUACCAAGGCUUUGACGGGUAGCCGGCCUGAGAGGGUGACCGGCAACAUUGGGACUGAGAUACGGCCAGGACUCCUACGGGAGGCAGCAGUGGGGAAUAUUGAACAAUGGGCGGAAGCCUGAUGCAGCAACGCCGCGUGCGGGAUGACGGCCUUCGGGUUGUAACCCGCUUUCGCCUGUGACGAAGCGUGAGUGAGGGUAAUGGGUAAAGAAGCACCGGCUAACUACGUG